rnacentral:rRNA from 1 species
GACAGAGGAGCCAAGCGUUGUCCGGAUUGACUGGGCGUAAAGCGCACGCAGGCGGUCGUGCACGUGGGGUGUGAAAACUGGCGGCUUAACUGCCAGAGGCCACCUCAUACGGCGCGACUCGAGCCCGUGAGAGGUCCAUGGAAUUGCCGGUGUAGUGGUGAAAUGCGUAGAGAUCGGCAGGAACACCCAGGGGGAAACCAGUCGACCGGGCAUCUACUGACGCUGAGGUGCGAGAGCGUGGGGAGCGAACCGG